UACAGAGGGUGCGAGCGUUGUUCGGAAUCACUGGGCGUAAAGCGCGUGUAGGCGGUCUCGUUAGUCAGAUGUGAAAGCCCUAGGCUCAACCAAGGAAGUGCAUCUGAUACUGCGAGACUAGAGUUCCGGAGGGGGUGGCGGAAUUCCCGGUGUAGAGGUGAAAUUCGUAGAUAUCGGGAGGAACACCUGUGGCGAAGGCGGCCACCUGGACGGACACUGACGCUGAGACGCGAAAGCGUGGGGAGCAAACAGG
rnacentral:rRNA from 1 species